UGGCGCCCGAACAGGGACCUGGAAACGAGGGACUCCGUGAGGAAGAGGACGCCAAAGGAUGGUCGACCGCUAACAAAGACAAAAGAAAGUGAACUCUUCCGAUCACCACGGGAACCCGCCGCGUCAGAAUCGAAGGUAAGUGACGCGUCCGAAAUGGGACAAGAAUUAAGCCAACAUCAGAUCUAUGUAGG
rfam:Chlorocebus sabaeus isolate 1994-021 chromosome 17 unlocalized genomic scaffold Scaffold2215, whole genome shotgun sequence.